AGUUAUCAUACAUUAUAUUCUAUCAGUAAGCAAUAUAGUCACUGUUGCAUUUUUUUCACAACACACAAAAAAUCUAUGUAAAAUCAGUAUGUACCUUCCCCCUCCUUGACCCAAAAACCAAACACAAAAAAGAAAAGGCACCUCAGAAAUAAUGAGUAUCUUCCCCACUUGGCCACUAAGUUAACCUGGGUGGUCCCAAAAUGGGGGCAGAUUGACCAUUUAGAAGUAAGAAUGACAGAGCCCACAUGCUCUGAUUUCUACUAAUAGUUAUAGGUCAGCUUACAAAUAGUGAUCUAGGAAGUUCCAAGGACUACUAUCAGUUGUCCUGAUAAGCUUUGCAUGGUUUAGAAGGCUAACAGUUGUUCCCAAAUGCCACAGUCAUCAACAAUAGGAGUUCCCUCAACUUCCCUCAGAAGGAGAACCAGAGGCACAACUCACCAUGUUCAACCUUUGGUGACAAGGAAACUUAGGAAGCUCAAGAAGAUCAUCCCAGGAUGCGAAGAAGCUGGGUUAGAAGAACUGCUUCAGAGAACUGCUGAGUAUAUUUCUUUCCUAGAGCUGCAUGUAAUUAUUCUGGAGAGAAUAUCAAACCUUCAUGGUGCUUCAGGCUAUGGCUUGUCUUAAGCCAUAUCCUGAUCCAGGCUUUGAUGGUCAAAAAUAGAAAGUAAGUAUAUUUUCUGCUGUAAGUCCUACUAGCAUUUCUCAUAAGAUAUUUGGCAAGAUUAUCUCAUUGUAUCUCCUCAAUUUCCUUGAUCAUCAUAGUUUCUUCCCAGGAUCACUUGCAAUGAUUAAACUCAAUCAUGCAGCUAAGGAGAAACAUUUCAAUGGAAGAAAGUUCAUUUCCUUUUUUUAAA